AGCGAACGCGCUGGCGGGGCGCGAGCUCCCUCCCUUCCUGCCGGGCGUCCGGGCUGCAGACAAAGAAGGCACCCCCAAGUUCGCUGUUUCCCAACCCCGCGCGCGAGCAGUUCCUCUUCUCUAGCCAGCCCGGCCUAGGGUGAGAAAACUGAGGUGGGAAAUCAGUAUUGUCCUAAAUGCUGAGGAUACAAAGAAAGGCAAAAUAUAGUCCCUGUCAUCAAGUAGCUCACAAUCUAAGGAAGACAAUGUGAAAACAAUUCAAUAUGAACAACCGUACAGAAGUAAAAUUGGGAGUAAUCAGCAGAGGUAAAUAGAUAAGUAAGUGGCAGAACCACAACCAGAACCUGUUAUCAGAAAAUACAGAAAAUAUUUUCUGAUGCUUCAUCAGGUUUCAUGGAAACAACCAAAAGUGAACAGUUUCUAGAACUACCCAAAACCUCACUUCAUGUUUCUGUACUAGCAGCCAUAGUUAAAUACUAGGAGUGAUAUGUUUUGCAAUUGACUUCAAUGAACCAUUGAGCUGCUAUUAAAAUGUCUGCCCAAUUUGUUUGGUACUGUGGGUGUGUUUAUAGGCAACACACCUGCUCUAUGGAAUCUUGGUAAGAUGAUGACAGGAAGUAAGACACAAUGUGGAACUCUAAGCCUGCUGCAAAGUGAUGUUUAAAAAUAACAAUGUCAAAUGUUAAAGUGACACUUUUAAAUAUUUCUGCUAUUAAAAGAAA
rnacentral:lncRNA from 1 species